rnacentral:rRNA from 1 species
GGGGAAUAUUGCACAAUGGGGGAAACCCUGAUGCAGCGACGCCGCGUGGGUGACGAAGUAUUUCGGUAUGUAAAGCCCUAUCAGCAGGGAAGAAGAUGACAGUACCUGACUAAGAAGCCCCGGCUAACUACGUGCCAGCAGCCGCGGUAAUACGGAGGAUGCGAGCGUUAUCCGGAUUUAUUGGGUUUAAAGGGUGCGUAGGCGGCCAUGUAAGUCAGCGGUAAAAGCCCGGGGCUCAACCCCGGCGAGCCGUUGAAACUGUGUGGCUGGAGACGGAGAGAAGUAGGCGGAAUGCGCGGUGUAGCGGUGAAAUGCAUAGAUAUCGCGCAGAACUCCGAUUGCGAAGGCAGCCUACCGGCUCCGGUCUGACGCUGAGGCACGAAAGCGUGGGUAUCGAACAGG